AGGCCCUCGUUGGGCGAAGCCCUGGAUCACGGUGUUCCCGUGGAAGGAGAGGGCGGCAGAGUCAAGGAUGGGUGCGGCAGGAGGAGCUCCGUCCUCCUUUGUCCUAUCCCAUCAAGCGCUGGAUCGAAGAAGCAUCAGCUCCCCCCACCUCCAUCCCAUCUCCUGUCCUAUAUCGGCCACACCACACCGCGCUCAUGGAGCACAGUCGCGGAAGCACGACGCUGACUGCGGCGGAGUGAGGAAGAGCUCGUCUGGUCGUCUUCUCCCUCCAUGGCAGGAUCAGGCCCAACCUCCAUGCCACCAGCUCCACCCCAUAUCUCUCUCCGUUCAGGGACCUGCUGUCGUUGCUCGAGCUUGUUGAGUUUUUUCUGGGAGCUCCUCUUCCUGGGGAGAAUUUGUUGGAAACCUUGAGCAAGCAUCUAAUGUUGGUUGUGUCAUCAAGCUCUGGCUGGUAACUGUGUAUUUCUCUCUUUCUCAUCUUCUUCGAGGAGGUUUAUUUUCAGGGAGUCUUGACAGAUUUGGUACACAGAGGAUCCAAAUUUUCUUUAUAAUUUUAGAACCACUAUCCUUUUUAGUGUCAGUGUUCAAUUGAUUAUAUGAUAGUGACAUUUUGGACCAUGGUCCUGGUUCAGUGUGGUUUCAUGAUUAUCAUUGAUGUCCCAUGUGUCAUGUCUCUGCUUCUGCAGAAAUUGUCACUCAGGUCGAGUAAUUUGGAACAUAUGGAACUGCAAUGCUUCUUUGUGUACACAUUCAUCUUGUGCUAUUAGUAUGCAUUUAAAUUUCAGUGCAAGCAUGUUAAAUCAGAGGGAUUAAGCAAGGUGCAUAUAAUUGGUCCUAUUUUUGAAAAAUCACUAUUAAUUAGAUUAUAUAUUGCUUUGGAACAACACUCACCAUUUUCCUUCUGUUCCAGUAACCUGUCACAUUCAAGCUAUUGUGAACUUUACGCAUUGUUCCUUUUGAAUUCUUACAGUACUAUGAACUUAUUAGUAAGAGUGCUCAACUGCUCAUGCAUAAUAAGUUUCCACAAAUAAGUAUUGAAUCAUAUGUGGCUAUUAUGUACACCCUCUGUUCCUAAAUGCAAGACGCUUUUGCAGUUCAAAAAAGUCGUUUAGGAACAAAGGUGGUACUUAUUCCUUAUAGUCGCCACCCCUAUUCAUUCUCUUCUGUUUUCCAAGUUUGCUGCUGCGUUCUGCUGAAUUAACAAUGGUUGCAAUGGAUUAUCCAUAUGCAUUUGCCAUUUGUUGGAGGCAAGUAAGUAGUGCAAAAAAGGGAAAAUGUGUCUCCAACAUCCAUCUUAGCUUUUACUUAAACACGGGUACUGAGUAACCACAAGCCAGCCACAUUCAACAGAAAAGUACUCGCCAGGAACGAAAAUAACCCCUACCACAGUCAGAUAGGCACCAGCUUCAACACUAUCCUUAUCAACUAUAAGCUUGUAGCAGGCCCUCAAAUGUAUCAUUCUGGGAACACCUGUAUGUAUUGGAAAUGCAAGCAAUAGUUAUAUAUAUAAUGCAAGCAAUAGUUCUAUAUAUAUAUAUAUGUAUUGGAUAAGUCUUCACUUCAUCACAUAGCAUCCUUCUAAUCACCGGGUGCUUGUGUUUUCCUUCCCAAUAUUGUUAUUGUCUUCAAUCUUUAUCUUCAUGCUUCUAUUCCGAACCAAUAAACUUUGUUGUGCCCAAGGUUUGUUGGCUAUGCCGAAACUUUAUUGCUGCCUUGGUAUUGUAUGUUUCUGAAGUUUAAAUUGAUGUACCAUCUAUGAACUCAUUUAGCAAAUCGCAAAUGUACAGUACACUGAGAACAUGACUGAUGAAUAGGAUGCUAUAUGAGGAAGUGAAACGCUGCAGCUUCAAUCUUUGCUGUUUGGAUCAACACGGAACUAUAUGGUUUUGCGAGGAAUCAAGGUUUCUUUUCUCUGUUUCAUGAUAAGAUGAACCUAAACUUGCAAUUCCUCUACUACUACUCAUUGCCCCGCACAGGUCCAAGAGAACAAUAUGUGCAUUCUGAAUGUCUGCCUGGACACAACCAGGUUCUCCGGAUGAGUUUGUCCAGGGCACUACAACCUAAAGAAUUAGCUCUUGCAAAACAGAUCUUCCACGUGUUUGUCGUGAAUAUAUGUGGUACAAUUCCAAAUCCAUAAUGCACCAAAGUUAUUGUGGUGUGAUGAUCUGAUUUAAAGAGUUUAAAUAAUGAAUUGUAAAAAUCAACAUUUGCAUUUGUACUCAAGGUCAUAUUUAAUCCUGAGGGAUA